CUAGCCCCCAUGUCUUGUCAACUUUGAGCUCCUGAAUCUGUCUACCCACCUCCGGGCCCCGGACCCCUCCACCCCGGACCUGGGAAAAGGCCCCUUACCUGAUCCCCAGAAGCCCUUGGCCUGUCCAAACCCGUCUCCAUACUCAGUGAGGUUUUCCAAGUACAGAUCUGACUGAAGUCCCCUGCGGCAGCCCUGUGCUGACAUCCAUUGCCCCAAGGAUAAAGACCUGGGUCCUCAGUCCCUCCACAGCAGCCUGCACCCAAGUCCCCUCGCUGAGCUCCAGCCACUGGCCCCGCUGGGCAGAAGUGACCAUGUGAUACAGAGCUCCCGCCUCCCCGGAGUGGGAUGCUCUGUGGCUGCGUGUGCCCUACAGCAGCACGGUUCAGUAGGCAGAGGCCACUUCUACUACCCGGCUAAGGAAAAGAUGGGCAGAGCCUGCUCUGGAUGACGCUGUGUUCCAGCCGGCGGAGAGGGUCCCCCAUUUCCUCGGAACUAAUCCUCCAGGAAAUUAACAGACAGUUUGCUGUGGACAACUAGAGCCCUCCCCUUCCUUAGCCCUGAGCGAGGUAAACAAUUCUGCUCUGCCUUCCGGAAGUUUCAAAUUAGCUCUUCAACCAGCGUUUUCACGCAGCUUCCAGUCCUGCCACAGUCUUGAAGAAGAGAUCAGCUUUCGCGUCUUCAUUCUUGCCAAGAUUAGCUGCCCUUCGAAUCUCCCGUGUGUCAUUAAUCCCAGCACGAACAAGCACUUGGGAACUGCGGGCUGCAGAUGGUCUGCUUAUCCUACGGAACCCUCCUCUUUUGAGGCUUAACCCCUUUAGUCUUUGUUGCUUCUGUAGCUUUCUGAUGCCAUUAAAGAGAUGAUUUUUAUA
ensembl:lncRNA novel transcript